rnacentral:rRNA from 1 species
UUCCGGUUGAUCCUGCCGGAGGACAUUGCUAUUGGGAUUCGAUUUAGCCAUGCUAGUCGAGCGAGUUUAGACUCGCGGCGAAUAGCUCAGUAACACGUGGCCAAGCUCCCCUUCAGUCAGCGAUACCCUCGGGAAACUGAGGUUAACAGCUGAUACAAAACGCCUGCUGGAAUGCGGCGUUUCAGAAAGAUCACGCUGAAGGAUGCGGCUGCGGCCGAUUAGGUAGACGGUGGGGUAACGGCCCACCGUGCCAGUAAUCGGUACGGGUGAUGAGAGUCAGAGCCCGGAGACGGAAUCUGAGACAAGAUUCCGGGCCCUACGGGGCGCAGCAGGCGCGAAACCUUUACACUGCACGGAAGUGCGAUAGGGGAAUCCCAAGUGCGAGGGCAUAUUAGCCCUCGCUUUUCUCGACUGUAAGGUGGUCGACGAAUAAGAGCUGGGCAAGACCGGUGCCAGCCGCCGCGGU